GUGCCCAUUUAGUUGAUGUCUAGUUGUGUCGUGCCGUCCAGAAUUAUUGAUAAUAUUCAAAAGGUAUCGGAUCGUUUCCAUAGGUUCAUGAGAUCGGUCAACAUGGAAUGUAAGCCUAAGAUGUUCAGUGGGCUCGGCUUUCAGGAUCUGAAGCAGAAUCAAACAGCUUUCUUGACUCGUUUGGCAGUGAAUUUAAUCCUCGAUCCUCAUUCAUUGGGGGGCGA
rnacentral:lncRNA from 1 species